AUAAAUCACAAUGCGGAACUAUUAGUUUUGCAAUUGGAUUGAGAACAAUGUACAAAUGUUAUCGAUAAACAAUUGGAGGGCAAGUCUGGUGCCAGCAGCCGCGGUAAUUCCAGCUCCAAUAGCGUAUAUUAACGUUGUUGCAGUUAAAAAGCUCGUAGUUGAAUUGAAGUGAACUUGGAUUGAUGUGAUCUUCGGAUGACGUGAAUCAAAGUUGACUCUUUCCAAAGUCAAUACAUUGGUAUUCAUUUAUCUUUGUAUUGUGUUUGGUCAUUUACUGUGAGAAAAUUAGAGUGUUCAAAGCAGACGUUUGUUUGAAUACAUUAGCAUGGAAUAAUCAUAUAAGGCUUUCAUGUUGAUUUGAUUGGUUUGAAUAUGGAAGCAAGAUUAAAAGGGACAGUUGGGGGUAUUCAUAUUCAAUAGUCAGAGGUGAAAUUCUGGGAUUUAUGGAAGAUGAACAAGUG
rnacentral:rRNA from 1 species